rnacentral:rRNA from 1 species
GAGAAACUUGYUUAUUAAUAGACAAUCCACYUUAAAUUUUACCUAAUUUAAUAAUUUAUAUACCACCAUCUAAAGAUUUAAUUUAAAUAUAUUAUCACAAUAAACAUAUAAAAAGUUAGGUAAAGGUUUAGUCUAUAAUUAGGAUUAAAUGUGUUGCAUUAAAAAUUAUUUAAUAAAAAAUUUUAAAUCUUAUUAACUUAGAAUUUAAUAUUAAUUAUAUAUUAAUAAUAUAUAAUGAAUAAAUUUAAAUGUGC